AUGCCUUCCUUGCCAAAAGGACAGAUGAUCAGACCUAUCAAGGAUCCUUCUGGUCUAGGGUUCUUAGAGGAUGAAAUGGCUGGCACUUUGGCAGCCUUCAGAAACUUGGUGUGUGAUAACCAGCUUCCAGGUUCUGGAGUACCAAGACCACAUCGUCGAAGCCCUCUCAGCAACAGCCAGCAGACCCUGAAGGCUGUGCAGCGGGAGAACUGGAGGCUGAUGCCCACCCAGAAACCAAAGCUACUGAGGCCGCGCCUGCUGUCUGGUGAGGAGUGUGUGCUGGAUAGCCUGCGCAUCUACCUGCUACCGGAUGGGCGUGAGGAGGGUGCCGGGGGCAGUGCAGGGGGGCCAGCACUGCUCCCAGCUGAGGGCGCCGUCUUCCUCAUCACGUACCACGUCAUCUUCACAGGGAUGCUCACAGACCCCCUGGUGGGGGAGCAGGUGGUGUUCCGCUCCUUCCCGGUGGCCGCGCUGACCAAGGAGAAGUGUAUCAGCGUCCAGACCCCUGUGGACCAGCUCUUGCAGGACGGGCUGCAGCUGCGCUCCUGCACAUUCCAGCUGCUGAAAAUGGCCUUUGAUGACGAGGUGGGGUCUGACAGUGUCGAGCCCUUCUGCAAGCAGCUGCAUAAGCUGCGGUACACGCUGGAUGUCAGGGCCACCUUCUCCUUCACCCUGGGCUCUGCCUACACACUGGGCAGGCCACCCCGUGUCUACACUGGGCAGGCCACCCCGUGUCACCAAGAACAAGGGUCUUUCCCUCAGAACCCUGUCCCAGAACCUGGUUAAGAAUGCUAAGAAGACCAUUUGGCGGCAGCAUGUCGCUCGCAAGAAGUACAACCCCCCAAGCUAGGAGCGCUGGGGCCAGCCCCCUGAGGACCAGGAGGACAAGAUCUCAGUGUCUGAGGAGCUGGAGCCCAGCACGCUGACCCCGUCCUCAGCCCUGGAGCCUUCAGACCGCAUCACCAUGAGCAGCCUCCUGGUGGAAAGGACUUGCCGCGAUUACCAGUACCUCGGCCUGGGCACCCUGAGCAGCCGCCUGAGCUGGGUCAAGUCUGAAUCCUUCUGCAUUUCUCCGGUCAACCGCAUGUAUACCAUCUACUGCAGCUACCCGGGGCUGCUGAUCGCGCCCCAGAGUGUCCAGGACAACGCCCUGCAGCAUGUGUCCCACUGCUACCGCCAGAACUGCUUCCCCGUGGUCUGCUGGGGCAGCGGGCGGUCCAAGGCAAUACUGCUGCGUUCUGGGGGCCUGCAUGGCAUAGGUGUCGUCGGCCUCUUUAAAGCCCAGAACGCACCUUCUCCUCCAGUUCCAGGCGGACUCCAGUAGUGUGGAGCAGAAGAAGUACCUGUAGGCUGUGGUCAGCUCCAUGCCCCGCUACUCCGGUGCAUCCGGAUGCAACACGCUUAGCGGCUUCUCCUCAGCCUACGUGGGCAGCCACAUUCCCAGCCCCAGAGCCAGGGUCACCACACUGUCCAACCCCAUGGCAGCCUCAGCCUCCAGACUGACUGCACCCCGAGGUAAGUGGGGGCAGUGUCGGGAUUAGUGGGCGCAGCAGUGGGCUUGGAGCCAAUGUGGGCACCUGGCUAGCUGGCAGAGACGUGCUGGCCCCACCCCAGGCCAACGGCUGCCCCUUGCCCCCCAACCAGGACUUCCUGUGGCUGCAGCGAGCAGCCCUCUACAUCCUCGGGGACAAAGUCCAACUCAAGAGUGUGAGGCCAGAUCCCCUGCAGCAGUGGGAGCUGGUGCCCACUGAGGUAUUCCAGGAGCGGCAGGUGAAGGCUAGCUUCAAGAAGCUGCUGAAGGCAUGUGUCCCAGGCUGCUCUGCUGCUGAGCCCAGCCUAGCCUCCUUCCUGCCCUUGCUGGAGGACUGGAGUGGCUGAUUCAGAUCCACAAGCUGCUGCAGGUGUUGGUGCUGGUGGGGAGCUCCUGUACUCAAGCUCCUCCGUGCUGAUGGGCCUGGAGGACGGCUGGGCCAUCACCACGCAGGUGGUAUCCUUGGUGCAGCUGCUGUCAGACCCCUUCUACCGCAUGCUGGAGGGGUUCUGCCUGCUGGUGGAGAAGGAGUGGCUGUCCUUCAGUCAUCGCUUCAGCCACUGGAGAGACCACAUUCUGGCUGGACAGAGCAGCAGCUUCACACCAUCUUCCUGUAGUUCCUGGACUGCCUACACCAGGUCCACCUGCAGUUCCCCACGGAGUUUGAGUUCAGCCAGUUCUACCUCAAGUUCCUUGGCUACCACCAUGUGUCUCGCUGUUUCCGGACCUUCCUGCUGGACUCUGACUAUGAGCACAUUGAGCUGGGGCUGUUGUAAGAGAAGGGGCAGCGCAGGGGCCAGCUGCCUUGCAGGUCUGUGUGUGGACCGGAUGAGCAAGAGGAUACCCAUGUUCCACAAUUACAUGCAUGCACCCGAGGACACAGAGGUCCUGCGGACCUACAACAACGUGUCCAGUCUGAAGGUGUAGGACUUCUACACUGAGGAGAUGCUGGCUGAGGGCCCUCCCUAUGACCAGAAACUGGCCCAGGGGCCCCCUGAGCCCCAAAGGAAGAAUGGUCUGAGGGAGGCACUCCCCAGAGCAGGCGCAGUAUGGUGUGGCCUGCUACCACAGCUGCCCCGGAGCCCAGCCUGACGCCAUCUCACGCCUGCUGGAGGAGCUGCAGAGGCUGGAGACAGAGCUGGGCUGACCCGCUGAGCGCUGGAAGGACACCUGGGAACGGAUGAGGCUGCACAGUGCCUCGAAGCCCGGCCAGAUGGACGUGGCACCCCUAGCUGCCUCCUAGCGUCCCCUGCACCCCACCACCGCUGCUCGCUGGUUAUGUACCAGCAGGAGGAACCCCUGGGCUCCACCCUGAGCCUCAGCCUGGAGAGGGACCAGAGAAGUGGCUCGACCGCAUCUGGCUCCCACCAGGCUGCCCACUGCAGCACCAGCACCCUGUACAGCCAGUUCCAGACAGCUGAGAGUGAGAACAGGUCCUAUGAGGGCACUCUGUACAAGAAAGAGGCCUUCAUGAAGCCUUGGAAGGCACGCUGGUUCAUGUUGGACAAGACCAAGCACCAGCUGCGCUACUACGGCCACCGUGUGGACACUGAGUGCAAGGGUGUCAUGGACCUGAGGAAUACACCAACCUUUGUUGCUGUCCUCACCGACAUCAACUCAGAGCGCCACUACUACGCUGCUUGACCUUCUGGGAGCUGGUGGAGCCUUCACAGCAGGAAACAAUGGGUGCUCAGGAUGCCACAGAAAGGGAGGAAGAGGAGGAUGAGGGAGGCCAGACGUACCUGUCGCCCACAGAGCCUGCCCCAUAUGCCCAGAUGUUUGCCCCAAAGACGCUGGUGCUGGUGUAGCGACUUGACCACACAGGUGUUCAGGAACGGCCUCUGCCUCAUCUAUGCCAUCCACAUGGAGGGCCUGAAUGUGUUCCCAGGGAAUGUAAUUAGGAACCUGCUGACAUGCACUGUGCCCCUGGCUGGGGGCUCGCAGAGGACGAUCUCUUUGGGGGCUGGUGAUUGGCAGGUCAUCCAGACUCCACUGGCCGACUCACUGCCCAUCAGCAGCUGCAGCGUGGCUCUGCUCUUCUGCCAGCUGGACAUCACCAAUGUGCUGUCUUUGUCCUGUGUCACCCUCACAGAGCACAAGGUUCUCUUCCUGUCCCCUAGCUACCAGCAGCUAGCUGAUGCCUGCAGGGGCCUCCUAGCAUUGCUGUUUCCUCUCAGAUACAGCUUCACCUAUGUGCCCAUCCUGCCGGCCCAGCUGCUGGAGGUCCUCAGCACACCCAUGCGCUUCAUCAUCGGGGUCAACGCGGCCCUCUAGGCAGAGACCAGGAGCUGCUAGAUGUGAUCGUUGCUGAUCUGGAUGGAGGGACAGUGACCAUCCCUGAGUGUGUGUACAUUCCACCCUUGCUAGAGCCACCGCAGAGUCAGACGCACAGUGUUCUGAGCAUGGUCCUGGACCUGGAGCUGGAGUUGGUUGACCUUGCCCUCCCUCCACCCAUGACGUCCCCCUCCUCCCUGAAGAUGCAGGACAAAGAGCUGCAUGCCAUCUUCCGGUGGCUCUUCGAUCGGCUGCUGCAGGGCUAUCUCUGGUGCCUGCACGUCAUGCGCAUUCACCCGGAGCCUGUCGUCCACUUCCAUAAGGCAGCCUUCCUGGGCCAGUGUGGGCUGGUGGAGGACGCUUUCCUGAUGAAGGUGCUGGAGGGCAUGGCUUUUGCUCUCUUCAUGUUGGAGCGUGGGGUCCCGUACCGCCCCACGGAACUGUUUGAUGAGCUGGUGGCCCACGAGGUGGCAUGCAGGCGGGCGGAUGAGAACCACCCCCAGUGUGUCCUGCGUCACAUCCAGGAACUGGCGGAGCAGCUCUACAAGAACGAGAACCUGUACCCAGACUUGGCGAUGCACAAGGUACAGAGGCGGGUGAGAGCAGCCAUCUGCGAUGGGCACCCCAGCCCUUCCCCUAGCUGGAUGAGGGCACCAUGCAGCGGAUCGUGGACCAGGCUACUGCCAAGAUGCAAGGGGCACACCUAGCCACGAAGGCUGAAGGGAGGACCACAGGGCCCUCAGGGCCCCGCAUGACUGCCAUACUGGAGUGGUGCAGAGGGCUGCAGGUCAACAGCGCUGGCCGGCUGGAGGUUGUGGGCAAUUGCAUCUCCCAUGAGUUUGAGGGGAAGAUGCUUGAGGCCAAGAAGCUGCUCCCAGCCGUGCUGAGGGCCCUGAAGAGGCGAGCUGCCCGCCGCUGCCUCGCCCAGGAGCUGCACCUGUAUGUGCAGCAGAACUCGGCCGUCCUGGAUAACCAGCAGUUUGACUUUGUCAUCCAUAUGAUGAACUGCUGCCUGCAGGACUGCACUUCUCUGGACGAGCAUGACAUC